GAGUUUGAUCAUGGCUCAGGAUGAACGCUGGCGGCAUGCCUAACACAUGCAAGUUGAACGAGAAGUUCUGGAGGGAGUCUUCGGACGAACGAAGGAAUGGAAAGUAGCGAACGGGUGAGUAACGCGUGGGCAACCAACCUUACACAGGGGGAUAACGCAGAGAAAUUUGCGCUAAUACCGCAUAAGCGCACAGUGCCGCAUGGUACAGUGUGAAAAACUCCGGUGGUGUAAGACGGGCCCGCGUCUGAUUAGUUAGUUGGUGAGGUAAAAGCUCACCAAGGCGACGAUCAGUAGCCGACCUGAGAGGGUGAUCGGCCACAUUGGGACUGAGACACGGCCCAAACUCCUACGGGAGGCAGCAGUGGGGGAUAUUGCACAAUGGAGGAAACUCUGAUGCAGCAAUGCCGCGUGAAGGAAGACGGUUUUCGGAUUGUAAACUUCUAUCAGCAGGGAAGAAAAUGACGUACCUGACUAAGAGCCCC
rnacentral:rRNA from 1 species